UACAGAGGUCCCGAGCGUUGUUCGGAUUCACUGGGCGUAAAGGGUGCGCAGGCGGCUUUGCAAGACAGAUGUGAAAUCCCCGGGCUCAACCUGGGAACUGCAUUUGUGACUGCAUGGCUAGAGUACGGUAGAGGGGGAUGGAAUUCCGCGUGUAGCAGUGAAAUGCGUAGAUAUGCGGAGGAACACCGAUGGCGAAGGCAAUCCCCUGGACCUGUACUGACGCUCAUGCACGAAAGCGUGGGGAGCAAACAGG
rnacentral:rRNA from 1 species